UACGAAGGGGGCAAGCGUUGUUCGGAUUUACUGGGCGUAAAGCGUACGUAGGCGGAUGAUUAAGUCAGGGGUGAAAUCCCGAGGCUCAACCUCGGAACUGCCUUUGAUACUGGUCAUCUUGAGUCCGGGAGAGGUGAGUGGAACUCCUAGUGUAGAGGUGAAAUUCGUAGAUAUUAGGAAGAACACCAGUGGCGAAGGCGGCUCACUGGCCCGGAACUGACGCUGAGGUACGAAAGCGUGGGGAGCAAACAGG
rnacentral:rRNA from 2 species